CCAGGAGAAAAGUGAGUUGACUUGUUCUUUUAGACACUGUUGACAUAAUACCUUCUCAGGUAGCUACUAACCCCCAUUAUACCCAGUGCUCCAGAUCUCUUCUGCCUUCUUUCUCUGCCCUGGACUGGCAAUAACAUGCUGACACAGGCCAUUUCUUCUUCUAUUCCCUGUCCUUAGGAAUGAUGAUGAAAGGGAGAGAACUGGA
rnacentral:lncRNA from 1 species